GGUGCAAAGUUCUUUAAGAAAUUUAGCAUAAAUUGAGACAUGUUGAAUUGCAUCGAGGAGGGGUAUAUUAAUGUGAACUAACUCAAACAAUUCUAUCAAUUCUUUGUUGCGUGCUCCUUAUUUUUUACAAGAAGAACCGGCUUCUAGGACUGAAGGAAAUGAAACUUUUGGUUUAUAUGUCUCGGAUAACUCAUCCGCUCUCUUCUUUUCUUUAUCUUUUUCACUCGG
rnacentral:lncRNA from 1 species